GAUGAACGUUGGCGGCGUGCCUAAUACAUGCAAGUCGAACGAAGACUGUAGUAAUACUGUCUUAGUGGCGAACGGGUGAGUAACGCGUGGGUGACCUGCCCCGAAGUGUGGGAUAACAGUUCGAAAGAACUGCUAAUACCGCAUAAUAUCCAAGAGAUUAGACGCUUUUGGAUUAAAGGAGUAAUUCGCUUCGGGAGGGGCCCGCGUCCCAUCAGCUAGUUGGUAAGGUAAUGGCUUACCAAGGCGAUGACGGGUAGGGGACCUGAGAGGGUGGCCCCCCAAAUGGAACUGAAACACGGUCCAUACACCUACGGGUGGCAGCAGUAGGGAAUAUUAGUAAUGGGCGAAAGCCUGAACUAGCAACGCCGCGUGUGCGAAGAAGGCCUUCGGGUUGUAAAGCACUUUUGUAGAGGAUGGGGAAGGACGGUACGUCUCAGAAUAAGUCUCGGCUAACUACGUG
rnacentral:rRNA from 1 species